rfam:Oryza glaberrima chromosome 10 Oglab10_0118_37, whole genome shotgun sequence.
AAUAAGUGCAGUUUUAUACUAUUCACGUUUAACAUUUAACCAUUUAUCUUAUUUGAAAAUUUUUUAUGAUUAGUAUUUUUAUUGCUAUUAGAUGAUAAAACAUGAAUAGUACUUUAUGUGUGACUAAAUAUUUUCAAAUUUUUCAAAAAAAUUUUAAAUAAGACGGACGAUCAAACGUUGGGCACGGAUAUCCACGGCUACACUUAUU